rnacentral:misc_RNA from 1 species
CAUAUGGGGUAGGUUCAGAUCUCCGGGUUGAGUUUGGUUGAGAAUGUCAACAGGAUGAAGGGGCUAUUUGACGGGUAUCUCGCUGGGUCCAAAUAGACAAACCAUAAGACAUGAGUGAGACGCCAAUGAGCUCUACCUCUCCCAUCCUCUGGCGACUACAGUGAAGAUCUAUUGCUUGAGUAUCCAUUGCCAGUUCUCUUGAGUUGCUUUUGCUUUUUCUAGCUUCUUCUUCCAAAACCUUGGGUUACGAUUAAAAAGGUCUCCUUUUAUUAGGCGUUCCAGCUGUGUUUUGCUCCUUGGUGCUUCAGUUGGUCUUCUUUCUUCUUCCGAUAAUAGUCCAGGCAACGUUUCGGUGAUAUCUGCUCCAUGUAGCACUUGUCGCGUGAAGGUGAAGUUUCCUUCAACUGGGACGAGUUUUUGGGUCUUACGCAAUCCCAGCUAAGGUUUUCCUUUUAUAGGUUAGGUCUUUGCAUGAGCUAGAAUUUUGGCCAUGGACCUCUAUUGUACUAGGCUUACAUGCUUCAAUCUUUAUGAGUUGAAGUGACAGCGUCAGGAGUAGUGG